ensembl:lncRNA
GAGAGGUGCCUGCAGACAGGUUGGCAGUUUCCAUCCUGUCGACACAAAAAAGGAGCAUUUGUUGGGGUAUCUCAUUUUCUCUGUGGUCAGUGCUCAUUUCAGCAUGACCCUCUCUGUAUCUUCUCUGAGCUUAGGAGCCAGUACAAGAGGAAAAACAUGGGGGGGCUGUAUUCUAGCUGAAGAAACCAUGGUAUUUUUCCAGAAAACUCAACUAGCACCUUCAGGACUGUGGGCACCACCUGGGAUCCAUAAAUAGCACUCACCCAUUCCAUGGCCUGGUUAUAUGCUCAGCCUCCUCCAAGGAUCGACGAAGAAUGACAUUGAACAGAAAGGAUGAGGUCUUCAUUUAGGCUGUUGCAAAGGCCAGAUUUCUGUGAAGGGAAAAUGUACAUCCUUCUAUAUUCAAAAGCCAGCCUCUCUCUAGAGGCUUCUCCUACUUAUAGCAUGAAGCAGGCUGGCCAAUGCCAGGCCCUGAAUCCACACCAUGGCCUUGUUGACCCCUGCUGUGACUCCAUCUACAGCCCAGAGAAAGCCUGGUGAUUCUGAAACAUCAUAAUGACUGGAAGUUGUUGGUGUGUGUUCUACCUGGACAAAGAUGUUUAACUGCCCCACCCUACGUUCCAAUUCGAAUGGCAAACUUGACCUCCUUCUGCCCUCCCCACCACGGCUACUGCAAGAAGGACAAUUCCACCCUAUUCCACAACUAUUUGCAUUUGCUCCUUACUUAAUGAGAAUGAAUCCGCAGGACUGAGACUGGGAAGGGGUAUCUAUGUCAUGGGAUACCACUGCACCCAUUCCAUCAGUAUCUGUGCACAUGAGAUAGCCUCCAUGCAUCAUUUAAAUGAAAAAAGCAAGAUACAGACAUAUAUGGUAUAUUCCCAAAUUCCCGAUUAUGCAAACUCUCACAAUGAAAAUACCUAUACAUGCACUUAAGGAUGUAUGUGUGAUUGUUGAACAUGAGGAAGGUAUAGAUGGAUGUAUCUUAAACCAUAUUAAUUUUCCCCGGGAGUAGGAGGCAUGGGAGGAGAAGGGGAGCACAGUAGAAAUUACCACCUUUCCCUUAUAUAUUUUUGGAUAUUUUUUCACUUCUUAAAUCAUAUGAUUUUAUAAAGAUAAAGAAGAAAAAAAAUCACAGAGAAAUCCUUUAGUCCUUUCUGACUCUUGAGGUUGUACCUGCAGUGCUCAGAAACGUUUCUCUGGCGAGGGUAAGAAACAGAAACCUCAGAACACCACAGUCGACGUGAGAAAAGGGCCCUGGGCUUGCAGCAGUAACGUCUGGCUUUGAGAAAAUCUGGAGUAAGCAAAGCAUACUAUUGAGUGUCUGCAAAGGAAAAUUAUGCAGCGUUUCCCUCAUACCCUUCAAGAUCAUCUGAUUCUAGCCUUUCAUUGCCUUUGAGAAAUUUUAAAACUCUGUGCAUCAUAGAUAAAUGAUAGCAAUGCAAAAUAAUUUUCUGCUAUACACAUGCAUUUGAAUUAUUCCCAGUAGAAUGACAUAUCUCUUCCUUUCCCACUUUUCCAAUCUUUAAAUGUAUAUGUUCUUUGGAUUUUCUGAUUGUAACUUACCAGUUCUCUUAUUAAUGGGUGAACUAAAUAAAAUCUUUAACACAUGUUCAUUUUAUAUUUCAAUCAUUAAUCAUGAUUUUGCUUUUUAAAUAAUAAGCGGCCCUUCACAUGGGAUUGAAUUCC